rnacentral:rRNA from 1 species
CGGGGGGGGGCUACCCAUGCAGUCGACGGUAACAGGAAGCAGCUUGCUGCUUCGCUGACGAGUGGCGGACGGGUGAGUAAUGUCUGGGAAACUGCCUGAUGGAGGGGGAUAACUACUGGAAACGGUAGCUAAUACCGCAUAACGUCGCAAGACCAAAGAGGGGGACCUUCGGGCCUCUUGCCAUCAGAUGUGCCCAGAUGGGAUUAGCUAGUAGGUGGGGUAACGGCUCACCUAGGCGACGAUCCCUAGCUGGUCUGAGAGGAUGACCAGCCACACUGGAACUGAGACACGGUCCAGACUCCUACGGGAGGCAGCAGUGGGGAAUAUUGCACAAUGGGCGCAAGCCUGAUGCAGCCAUGCCGCGUGUAUGAAGAAGGCCUUCGGGUUGUAAAGUACUUUCAGCGGGGAGGAAGGCGAUGCGGUUAAUAACCGCGUCGAUUGACGUUACCCGCAGAAGAAGCACCGGCUAACUCCGUGCCAGCAGCCGCGGUAAUACGGAGGGUGCAAGCGUUAAUCGGAAUUACUGGGCGUAAAGCGCACGCAGGCGGUCUGUCAAGUCGGAUGUGAAAUCCCCGGGCUCAACCUGGGAACUGCAUCCGAAACUGGCAGGCUUGAGUCUCGUAGAGGGGGGUAGAAUUCCAGGUGUAGCGGUGAAAUGCGUAGAGAUCUGGAGGAAUACCGGUGGCGAAGGCGGCCCCCUGGACGAAGACUGACGCUCAGGUGCGAAAGCGUGGGGAGCAAACAGGAUUAGAUAUUUCUGUUUUUAGUCUCAGAAA